GACGAACGCUGGCGGCCUGCCUAACAGAUACAAGUACAACGAACGAUGGAAGCUUGCUUCUGUCAGUCUUAGUGGCGAACGGGUGAGUAACGCGUAAUCAACCUUCCCUUCAGAGGGGGACAACAGUUGGAAACGACUGCUAAUACCCCAUACGAUUUACUCCCGGCAUCGAGGAUAGGUGAAAGGAGGUCUCUACAUGUGAGCUAGCAUAGAAGGAGGGGGUUGCGUAUGAUUGGACAGUUGGGGGGGUGACGGCCCACCAAGGCGAGGAGCAGUAGCCGGUCUUCAAGGAGGAGCUGCCACACUGGGACGGGGACACGGCCCACCCCCCUGCGGGUGGCAGCAGUGGGGGACCUUCCGCGAUGGACGCAAGGCUGACUGUUCGACGCCGCAUGCGUGUUGACGGCCGUCGGGUUGCGAAGCUCUGUUAAUCGGGACGAAAGGCCUUCUUGCGAAUAGGGGGAGGGAUUGACGGUACCGGAAUAGAAAGCCACGGCUAACUACGUG
rnacentral:rRNA from 1 species